AAAACGGAGAGUUUGAUCCUGGCUCAGGAUGAACGCUGGCGGUAUGCUUAACACAUGCAAGUCGAACGGUGUCUUCGGACAUAGUGGCGGACGGGUGAGUAACGCGUGAGAAUCUAGCUUCAGGUCUGGGACAACCACUGGAAACGGUGGCUAAUACCGGAUGUGCCGGAAGGUGAAAGGCUUGCUGCCUGAAGAUGAGCUCGCGUCCGAUUAGCUAGUAGGUGGGGUAAGAGCCUACCUAGGCGACGAUCGGUAGCUGGUCUGAGAGGAUGACCAGCCACACUGGGACGGAGAC
rnacentral:rRNA from 1 species